rnacentral:rRNA from 1 species
AAUGAACGUUGGCGGCAUGGAUUAGGCAUGCAAGUCGAGCGAGAAGUGUAGCAAUACACGGAAAGCGGCGGAAGGGAGAGUAAUACGUGGGAAUCUGCCCUUAGACCUGGGAUAGCAGCGGGAAACUGCUGGUAAUACCAGAUAAUGUCUAUGGACCAAAGGUGUGAUUCCGUCUAGGGAUGAGCCCACGUCCUAUUAGCUAGUUGGUAGGGUAAUGGCCUACCAAGGCGAUGAUGGGUAGCGGGUGUGAGAGCAUGACCCGCCUCACUGGGACUGAGACACUGCCCAGACACCUACGGGUGGCUGCAGUCGAGAAUCUUCGGCAAUGGGCGCAAGCCUGACCGAGCGAUGCCGCGUGCGGGAUGAAGGCCUUCGGGUUGUAACCUCUUUUAUUAGGUAAAAGGACGAAUCGUGCUAAUACCAACGGUUGUUUGUAUGUUACCUGUUGAUAAGCCCGGCUAACUACGUGCCAGCAGCCGCGGUAAU